rnacentral:lncRNA from 1 species
ACCAAAGAAUUCAUGUGGAUGAUGAUGUGACUUGCAUGCAAAUAUAUAGGCAUUGGUUGGCGUUGGAUAAUUCCCUUCGCAGUUCAGUAGCUGUCGCCACAAUUUGGCGGGAAACUUCCACCAUUGCCAACAUCUUUCGUUUUAAGCAUGUGAUCAUUUUGGAAACCUCCUCCCCUAUUUGUUGCUGUGACUGGGGUCCAUGCAGUUGGUUGCAGGGGUCAUUAGAUGGUUGUUGUUUGCUUUUUUAAAUAAUUUUGUUUCUAACUGCUAAUAAUUAAUUACACAUAUGUGGGGAAUGGG